CCUGUGUCUAGUUAACUUGAUAAAUUAUAUUGAUUGAGGAGCAAUAGCCAGCGAUGGGUUCAAUGAGAGCAUAGGGAUUUGCGAUGAGAGCGGAAUUUGCCAUGCCAGUACCGGGAUUCGGUAAGAAUUUUAUUGACUAUUUGUCAUACAAGGAAAUGUAAUGAUAAAUUGUCAUACAAGUUUGAGGCAUUAGGCUGAAAUUACGGUUUACCUGAGUUAUUCUCACAUAUAACUUUUAUCUAGGCUGUUAUGUCGGUGUAGGAAGGCUGUUAAGAGGAUUAUUAUGAUGUCAAAGCUAGUGUGAGUAGAUUACAUUCAUGAUUUAUUGUAUUUAUUGGCUGUAUUUGGCUUACGAUGGCGUGUUUCUUACAUGGGGGAUUUUAAAUUGAACAACUUUCAAGAUGGUGUUCUAUCAUCUGUGUUUAUGGUUGGGCUUCUCAUGGCCUCACCCAUCUUUGCAUUCUUGGCAAAGAGGUGAGUACUUGUGUAACUGGAUGAGCUGUGAAUUUAUUCGAGAUGUGAUUUAGCCGAUUUGAUUUAUAAGUUCAUGUGCGUUGUAGCCACAAUCCUUUUAGGCUGAUUGGAGUUGGGCUAUCUAUUUGGACAUUUGCCAUAGCUGGGUGUGGUAGUUCAUUUAAUUUAUGAUCCAUUGCAAUAUGUCGCAUGCUGGUUGGAGUCGGUGAGGCAUCUUUCAUAAGUCUUGCAGCUCCAUUCAUUGAUGACCAUGCCCCUGCAGAUUAGAAAUCAGCAUGGCUGGCAAUAUUUUACAUGUGUAUACCGACUGGAGUUGCUAUAGGCUAUGUUCUGGUGGAUUUGUGGGAGAGAGCAUCAAUUGGCGUUGAGCAUUCUGGGGAGAGGCCCUUCUAAUGCUUCCCUUUGCUGUCUUGGUUUUUGCGGUGAAACCAUUGCAGCUGAAAGGUUUACCUCCUACUGAAUCGACAGAGCUUUUGGAAUCUAUUGAAACUAGUCCUUUAAUAGCAGGUAUUGCAGGUUCUAUUAUUGUUUGGCAAUGCUGCAUCUAUAGUGAGAAAUCCCACUUGCACAUUUUGCUUUGUGGCAUCAGACUUCAACAAGUCAAUAUAAACGCUGAUCACCUGCAAUUGGGUCAUUAGAUUUUCCAUCAGAAUAGUAUAAGUGAACAAGAUAAAAGUAAAUUGCAUGAAAUACGAAUAUUACUGGGGGACAGUAAUCAUUAUAUUGGGCCCCAAUAAUUCAUUAAAUGGGGUCUUUAAUUGAAAGACUUACAUCAGUUUCGAUCUCCCCCUCUUGGAUGAUUACUCUGAGGUCAUGCUUGGUGAUCCGGCAUAGAAGAUCAAUGCUGAUCCAGACUCAGUUAUGUUCAAACAGAAACAUUUGAUUCCAAUGCAGAUGUAAUCAGUAUGAAAUACAGAAAUUGAAUUGUUGUACCAUAUUAAACCAGGUUGUGUACUUA